rnacentral:rRNA from 1 species
AUUGAACGCUGGCGGCAGGCCUAACACAUGCAAGUCGCACGGAGCGGCGGACGGGAGAUUAACGCCUAGGAAUCUGCCUGGUACAGGGGGAUAACGUCCGGAAACGGGCGAUAAUAACGCAUACUCUCAGAUCAGACUAGGUCGGAUUAGAUAGUUGGUGGGGUAAAGGCCUAACAAGGCGACGAUCCGUCACUGGUCUGAGAGGAUGAUCAGUCACACUGGAACUGAGACACGGUCCAGACUCCUACGGGAGGCAGCAGGGGGGAAUAUUGGACUAUGGGCGAAAUCCUGAUCCAGCCAUGCCGCGUGUGUGAAGAAGGUCUUCGGAUUGUAAAGCACUUUAAGUUGGGAGGCGUUACCACCAUAAUAAGCACCGGCUAACUUCGUGCCAGCAGCCGCGGUAAUAC